rnacentral:rRNA from 1 species
AACGUAGGAGACAAACGUUAUCCGGAGUUACUGGGCGUAAAGGGCGUGCAGGCGGUCGACUAAGUCUGGCGUGAAAGCUCUCGGCUAAACCGGGAGAGGUCGUUGGAUACUGGUUGACUAGAGGACGGUAGAGGCGUGUGGAAUUCCGGGUGUAGUGGUGAAAUGCGUAGAGAUCCGGAGGAACACCAGUGGCAAAGGCGACACGCUGGGCCGUACCUGACGCUGAUACGCGACAGCAUGGGGAGCGAACGGG